rnacentral:rRNA from 1 species
AGUGAACGCUGGCGGUAGGCCUAACACAUGCAAGUCGAACGGCAGCACAGUAAGAGCUUGCUCUUACGGGUGGCGAGUGGCGGACGGGUGAGGAAUACAUCGGAAUCUACUUUUUCGUGGGGGAUAACGUAGGGAAACUUACGCUAAUACCGCAUACGACCUACGGGUGAAAGCAGGGGAUCUUCGGACCUUGCGCGAUUGAAUGAGCCGAUGUCGGAUUAGCUAGUUGGCGGGGUAAAGGCCCACCAAGGCGACGAUCCGUAGCUGGUCUGAGAGGAUGAUGAGCCACACUGGAACUGGCACACGGUCCAGGCUCCUACGGGAGGCAGCAGUGGGGAAUAUUGGACAAUGGGCGCAAGCCUGAUCCAGCCAUACCGCGUGGGUGAAGAAGGCCUUCGGGUUGGAAAGCCCUUUUGUUGGGAAAGAAAAGCAGCAGGUUAAUACCCCGCUGUUCUGACGGUACCCAAAGAAUAAGCACCGGCUAACUUCGUG